rnacentral:rRNA from 1 species
UCUGCAUCUUAGAACUUGGUCCAUCCAAAUGGAUGUGAACUAGGAUUCUAGACUAAAUAUUACAAGUUUUCUAUAUGUUACCUUAAUUGGUUGCAUAUAGUAGCUAGUAAGUUUACCUUGAAAAAAUUAGAGUGCUCAAUGCGGGCUUAAUGCCUGAAUACUCGUGCAUGGAAUAAUAAAAUAGGAUCUUGGUUCUAUUUUGUUGGUUUUCUGAUCUAAGAUAAUGGUUAAGAGGGACGGACGGGGGCAUUCGUAUCGCUACGUGAGAGGUGAAAUUCUUGGACCGUAGCGAGACGUACAACUGCGAAAGCAUUUGCCAAGAAUGUCUUCAUUAAUCAAGAACGAAAGUCAGAGGUUCGAAGGCGAUCAGAUACCGCCCUAGUUCUGACCGUAAACGAUACCAACUAGCGUUCCGUCGGCGGUAAAUACGCCUUGA